rnacentral:misc_RNA from 1 species
GAUGAAGAACGUAGCGAAAUGCGAUAAGUAAUGUGAAUUGCAGAAUUCAGUGAAUCGUCGAAACUUUGAACGCACCUUGCGCCCUUUGGCCAUUCCGAAGGGCAUGCCUGUUUGAGUAUCAUGAACACCUCAACUCUUCAUGGUUUUCCAUGAUGAGCUUGGACUUUGGGGGUCUUGCUGGCCUGUGGGUCGGCUCCUCUCAAAUGAAUCAGCUUGCCGGUUUUUGGUGGGCAUCACAGGUGUGAUAACUAUCUACGCUUGUGGUUUUCCACCAGGGUAACCUUCAGCAGUGGAGGUUCACUGGAGCUUACAAAUGUCUCUCCUCUGUGAGGACAGCCCUUUGAAUGUUUGAUCUCAAAUCAGGUAGGACUACCCGCUGAACUUAAGCAUAUCAAUAAGCGGAGGA